GUCCCUGUAGCGUUAUAGAUAGCGCGUUGGACUUCUAAUCCAUAGGUCAUGGAUUCAAAUUCUAUUUGGGAUG